rnacentral:rRNA from 1 species
GCAGUCGAGCGGACAGAAGGGAGCUUGCUCCCGGAUGUUAGCGGCGGACGGGUGAGUAACACGUGGGUAACCUGCCUGUAAGACUGGGAUAACUCCGGGAAACCGGAGCUAAUACCGGAUAGUUCCUUGAACCGCAUGGUUCAAGGAUGAAAGACGGUUUCGGCUGUCACUUACAGAUGGACCCGCGGCGCAUUAGCUAGUUGGUGGGGUAAUGGCUCACCAAGGCGACGAUGCGUAGCCGACCUGAGAGGGUGAUCGGCCACACUGGGACUGAGACACGGCCCAGACUCCUACGGGAGGCAGCAGUAGGGAAUCUUCCGCAAUGGACGAAAGUCUGACGGAGCAACGCCGCGUGAGUGAUGAAGGUUUUCGGAUCGUAAAGCUCUGUUGUUAGGGAAGAACAAGUGCGAGAGUAACUGCUCGCACCUUGACGGUACCUAACCAGAAAGCCACGGCUAACUACAU